GCAGUCGUGACCGAGUGGUUAAGGCGAUGGAUUAGAAAUCCAUUGGGGUCUCCCCGUACAGGUUGGAAUCCUGUCGACUGCG
rnacentral:tRNA from 2 species